GAGGGUAUGGCUCAGUGGAUAGAGCACAUGCUUAGCAUGCAUGAGGUCCUGGGUUCAAUCCCCAGUACCUCCA
rfam:Camelus ferus unplaced genomic scaffold scaffold839, whole genome shotgun sequence.